GCGUCAGUAGGUUGGUCGUGCCACCGGUACGUACUGGUCUCACUGAUUCCUCCUUCCUCAAGAACCGUAAUGCCAUUAUUUUGGUGUUGCUGGGAAACAGGACUGUUACUUUGAAAAAAUUAGAGUGUUUAAAGCAAGCUAACGCUUGAAUACAUUAGCAUGGAAUAAUGAAAUAGGACGAUCGAUCCUAUUUUGUUGGUUUCUAGGAUUGACGUA
rnacentral:rRNA from 1 species